UGGGGAAUAUUGCACAAUGUGCGCAAGCCUGAUGCAGCCAUGCCGCGUGUAUGAAGAAGGCCUUCGGGUUGUAAAGUACUUUCAGUCGGGAGGAAGGUGGUAAGGUUAAUAACCUUAUCAAUUGACGUUACCGACAGAAGAAGCACCGGCUAACUCCGUGCCAGCAGCCGCGGUAAUACGGAGGGUGCAAGCGUUAAUCGGAAUUACUGGGCGUAAAGCGCACGCAGGCGGUUGAUUGAGUCAGAUGUGAAAUCCCCGGGCUUAACCCGGGAAUUGCAUCUGAUACUGGUCAGCUAGAGUCUUGUAGAGGGGGGUAGAAUUCCAUGUGUAGCGGUGAAAUGCGUAGAGAUGUGGAGGAAUACCGGUGGCGAAGGCGGCCCCCUGGACAAAGACUGACGCUCAGGUGCGAAAGCGUGGGGAGCAAACAGG
rnacentral:rRNA from 1 species